UUUUCAAUUUCUUUUCAAGUUUUCUGUUUCUUUCCUAUUUCUAGUUCUAACUAAGAAUCAGUUUCAACAUUUUAUGUUUUUUUUUUCAGAAAUGUAGCCAUAUCAAUUCACUUCAAAUUUAUGUGAUUGUUCAUAACAUUUGCUUUAGAUUUUUUAAUUCUUUAUACAUAUGUAUAUAAUUAUUUACAUUUUGUUUCCUAUAUUUUGUUUUUCUUUCUUCUACAUUUUCUCAGUAAGCUUUUCCAUAAGUUUAUCUAGCUCACAAAUCUUUCCAAAGAUACAAAUUUCAGCUCUCAUAAUCAAAUGUAUGAUAAUGAGAUGAAAUACAUUCAUAAGAAACAAUUAAAAACCUAAAAUGCCUAUGAAUAAUUAUUUUAGAAAUGUAUGAGUCAUAAAAGAAAUUAUGUCUUCAUAGCUAUAGAAAUUAAAUAUAGCCCAGUUUUUUCAUUGAAAGAUUAAUAUUAUAAAAACACCAUUCUUCUGAAAUAAUAAGAAUGCCAAGAUUUUUUUUAGAGAAGUUUAAUGCCUAGAAAAAUGAUUUUGAAUUUUAUCUGGAAGAAUAAUCAGAAAAAAAUAGCAAAGACCAUUUUUUAAGGAAGUAGGAAAUCACACAAAGCAGUUACUAAAAUUUGUUAUGAGACUAUAAUAAUUUUUAAAAUGCAAUGCCAGCAUGAGAAUAGGCAAGUCAACCUAUUUUUAAACAAUAUUUUCAAGAUAUCCAUGAAAACAACAGAGAUAUUAGCACUUACUGAAUGCCCAUGGUUUCUCCAGUUUCUCAACGACCUUGUACAGUAGAGCCAUAUGACUAGUUCCAGCCAAUGAAUAAGAAGCAACAGGAGUCAAGGCAUCUGAGGGUGGGUGAGAGUUCUCCACUUACUCUCACCCCUUGCUCUGCCAUGAGGAGUAUACAAAUUCAGAAGGAAGCACCCAAAAAUGUAAACAGGCUGAAUCAACCAUCACGUGGUGGAUAAAAGAUGAAGCUUCCCUAGAGAGUCAUCCAAUUCUCACUGAAUGCUGUGUGCACUAGAAAGAAAUCUUGGUUGUGUUUAUCUACUGAGAUUUGGGGGUUUAUUUGUUACCACAGCAUACAGAGCCUAUCCUGACUGAUAAAAUAAACAUGAAAUAAUGUUGGUGUCUUUCAGUUUUAAAAAACCUAUGUGAGUUGAGUACUAUGAAACAGUAAAGAGGGCAAUUAUGAACAACCUACUGAAACCUUGGAAAUAGGAGAAAUGAGGUUGCCUUUGAAAACUAGCCUAAAGAAUUAACACUGAAAGGAUCUGAGAAAAGACUCCCAAGUCAGAGAUACAAGAUUUUUUAUUCAUGGAAACUGAGCUUUAUGACUGAGUCUCUCCCCUGACCCUCAGAUCCCAUGAGGAUGAUGCAGAGCAGGUUAGGUGGAUACCGCAUACACAGUGGAUCAGUGUCACAGCUGAGGAAGACUCAGUUUAGGUAACCCAAAAAUUCUACAGUGGGCAUUAAGCAAACCUUCCUCAUCUGUGCUCUGGCUGGAGACAUUAUCUUUAUUAUAAAAAAAAUAAGCACAUCUUAGUCUGUUAGAAAGACAUUAUCAUUACCUUUCAAAGACAUUCUCUAUACAUACAUCCUUGAAAAUUUAGUCAUGUAGUGUCUUUGCUCAAAAGAUUCGCAGACAAAGGACAGCUCAUAAGGAAUUGUCUCCCAAUAGUCAUAAAAGUAAAUAACCAAUUCAAUAAGUCUAUCAAACCUAGAUUGUGUGGGUCUGGAAUAAUGUACUCAGCUCUAUCCCCAAUUUAUUUAUAAAGAAAAUGUGAAUGUUUCAUCUCUAUGAAGAAAUGCUGUGGAAUUUGGUCACCUUUCUUUCAGCCAACUUCUGAAAAAAUGGGAUUAUGGAAGAGAAGGAUAAAUUAAGUUCAAAUUUAAGCUUUCUCACCAUGCAAAAUGCCAUUUUGAUAGAUUUAUUUUAUUAUCCCCUAUCUCUAAAGAUUCUCGUAUUUCAAAGAUAUAUCAACAGUUUUGCAAAAUUUUUAUGUGCAGCAUUUUCUUCUUUCCCUAGGAUAAGAUUUCUCUUCAUUUGAUUUAACUGGGGAAAGGAAGUCUUUCUUUUUUUUCCAUACUCAUAAAAUUAUAAGAGUGAGACUACACACAAACUCCAGGCAAUGGCAAAGUGAGUUAUCGAGUCCCUGGCAAAAUCAUUAAAUGAGAACACCAGCUGUCAGACUGGACUCAGCAAACACCUAUGCAUUCAGUAAGAACUUGGCAAACCACUCAAAGCACGAUGCCUGGGUAGAACCAGAAGCUUGUUAGGCAGACUCAAGUACAAUGGAAUUAAUGGAGGAAGGGUCUAUGUAAAGAAAUGUAUGUAUAAUCUACGAUAAUGGAAACUCUGAGGAUCAGAUAGUUGCAUGAUACUCUAACUUGUCAUCAUUUCAGAGUAUUAAAGGUUUUACAACUAUCUAGGGAAUCAAGUCUCAGCCAUCACGCAGUCUAUGGUGUUACAUAGUUCUGAAGAUCACUGUAAUUUAGGCAUAUUACUUCUCAAGAGAAAUAUUUUUACUUUUUAAAAGGCUUGUUUUAAAGUUUAUAAGUACUUUUAAAGUUUUAUAAGUAUUUAAAAAUACUACAUUUUUAUUUAUACAUAUUUUAUAAGUAUUUUAAAACCUCUUUGCUUUAGUCUUGUAGAAAUAAAAGUUAUCACAGUUAUAUGGAAAACUAACAAUAAAACAGGAAUUUAUAAAGAUGAAUGAGGCUCAGAAAGACUAGUUUUGCUAUUGCUUAGGACCUUCUGCAAUUCCAACACCAAUUCAAAACGUGCAGAAAAUCCCAUAACUAGUGAGAGUAGCCUAAAUGCCUGAACCACAUGUCUAAAUAUAAAGCCGUUUUAUAUUUUCUUUCUGAAGCUUAAAUGGUACAGUAUGGUUUGUUCUAGAAGCCAUUUACCAAAAAUUUUGAAGAUUUAUGUGUUCACAGAUAGCUAUUAAAAGUUCUAGAUCAGUUAUUUUAUUCUGUCUCUCCAUAGGAAAUUUGAAAUAAAAAUUCAUUUUAAAUGUUUCAAGGCUGUUAUUUUGAAAAACUAUAGAAAACAAGAGUUUUAAACAUCACUGGAAGAAUAUGGGAAAAGAAAGGAAUUGUUCAUUCUCAGCUAAUACUAGAUAGAAAAUGUAGAGAAUUUAAAUGAUGCAGGUAAAACCUCAAGAUGUGAACUCAGCAGUCAUCUACAAAAUAUGGGAUAGAAAUUUUAAGGAAAAUGUAAUAAUUUUUACCAAAAAUAAAUAAGAAAGAGUUGAACAACAGAAGUGAGUCCUGCUCAGAGAUAUGCAGUAAAUGGAUUUUUUUUUUAAUGUUACCAGAGUAGCACUGCAACUAGAGGAUGGGAUUUCCCAGUGUGCCUCAUAGGUAAUGAACCUGACUAGUAUCCCUGCAGAUGAGGGUUUGAUCCCGGCCUUGCUCAGUUUGAUAGGGAUCCGGUGUUGCUCUGAGCGGUGAUGUAGGUCACAGAUGCAGCUUGGAUUCAGCAUUGCUGAAAAAAAAAAAAAAGGAGAAAAAAAAAAUGGUAUGGGUCUAAUGCCUCAUUUAAUGCACAUUAACUCUAUUUCUAUCACUUGUUUGCUGGUACUUCUUUUCUCUUUUUCUAGAUAUUUUUGCCCCAAUAUGCAUAACCUAGCAACUACAGAAGUUAGGGUUCUCCAAUGCAAACUGUUUUAAUAUUUGUGAAUGUCUUCGGUGCUAUGAAGCUGUAGAGGGAGUGACUCCUAGGUGAAUAUACUCUUGUCUAAACUAAGGGAUUCUUUGAGACUCUCCUCUAUUCUUUUGUUCCAUAAAGCUCAUUCAUUUUGGGUUACUUUCUGCCUCUUCAUAUAAACAUUUAUAUGAUUUGGGAUCCAUUUUCUGUUGGAGCUAAGCCUAGUCUAUCUAACACAGGGCUUUUCUAUUUAACUGUUUCACAUUUAGUGCAUAUGUAUUUACUUAGAUUUAUUAAAAAAAAAAUCAACCACUUACCAUACUACCGGGUAAUGGAGUAAAAAAAAUAAAGCACAGCUAAUUCACAUUUAAGACCUAAUUACUUGAAAGUAUUUAUCCAGAGUUUCGCUUAUAGGAUCUACGCAAAUUGAAUUAAGUAAAUGUCUUCUCUGUGUUCUUGCGGUGUUUAUAAUCCAACAAAGAUGCUGCUAAUAGUAAUGAGCUAUAUUUUUUUGAGUGCUUACAUACCUCAGACAUUAUUCUAAGUACUUUGUAUAUGUUAUUUAAACUCACAACAACCCUGUGACUUUGGUACAAUUAUUAUACCAAUCUCACAAAUGAGAGAAUUAUGAUUCGGGGAAAUUAAGUGUCUUUCUCAAAGGCAUAAUCAGGAAAAUAUCAAGCAAGUUUGACCCCAGAGCUUUGGCUCAGAUAUGCCAUCCCAUACUCCAUUUCAUAACAAUGGUCAGCAUUUGCAGAGUAUUUACUAUCUCUUCUCAGGACUGUAUAGGCACUCUUCUCAGUACUACACAAGUAUGACUUCUUCGAUCCUAACCACAGUCCUAUGAAGUUCUAAUAUUAUAAACCCCAUUUCAGAGAUGGGGAAAAUGAGAACAGAAAAAUUAAGUAAUCCCACAAGGCCACAUGAUAGGAACUGGUAGACCCAGGGUUAUAAACAACACAUAUUCUUAAAUCCAAUAGUACCAAAGCACCUCACAGCACCUGGUUUUUGUAAGCAGGGUGUUUAGAUAAGAGAAAUUACAGAGAUAUUUUCAGAUGUUUAUUCUCCUGCCCUUUGACCAGACUAUCUCUCAGGAUGAUGGGAAGGAAAUUGAAUGGAUUAUUUUUGUAUUAUACAUUUAUAAAAACAAAUUAUUUUGGUCAGUUGAGCUAUUUAGCAUUUAUUACAUAUGCUCAGUGUAAUCAAAAGAACAUUAAUUACUGAGUGAGAUUAUCUAAUAAAAUCACAAACACAGGCAAAAAUAAAAGGUCAAAAACUGCCCCUGUAAGAAUGUGAAAAUGUACUAGAAGAAAAGUACUACCAUUGAUGAUUCCAAUGCUUCUUUCUAAAACUGAAUUAUUCGGCUUUAUCAUUUAAAAGUAUAGAGUAUGGAGUUCCCGUCGUGGCGCAGUGGUUAACGAAUCCGACUAGGAACCAUGAGGUUGCGGGUUCGGUCCCUGCCCUUGCUCAGUGGGUUAACGAUCCGGCGUUGCCGUGAGCUGUGGUGUAGGUUGCAGACGCGGCUCGGAUCCCACAUUGCUGUGGCUCUGGCGUAGGCCGGUGGCUACAGCUCCGAUUCGACCCCUAGCCUGGGAACCUCCAUAUGCCACGGGAGCAGCCCAAGAAAUAGCAACAACAACAACAACAACAAAAAAAAGACAAAAAAGACCAAAAAAAAAUAAAAAAAAAAAAAGUAUAGAGUAUAAUGAUAAGCUGUAUAAUAGUGUGCAAGCCUUCAAAGUUAUUUUUUUCUUUUUCCUCGGUAGAACUAAUACUGAAAAAUUUUGGAGGCUACCUAUGACCAAUUUCAGUAUUAUUCAGGAUCAAAGUCAUUGUUUUACUUGUCUGCAUUAACACUAAUUGAAAAGAAAGUAAAUAUAAAUGGAAUUAGGUAGAGAAAAAUACAAACUCAUUCAUAAUAUGUCCAUAAAAUAGUAAACAUUAUAUCUGUAUCAGCUGAAGUUUUAAAAA
rnacentral:lncRNA from 1 species